rnacentral:lncRNA from 1 species
GGGACAGAUGCAUCCACUCUCGCUCCAUCUCUACACACAAAAAAAAAAAUUGAGACUUCAUGCCACAUAGUGAUGCAGAGAGUAAUUACAAAGGAAUUAUAUAUAUAUUCUACACUUAUUUAAUUUAGUCAACCCAUUUUAGGAAAAAAUAAUCUGCACUAAAUAUUAGAAAAUUGAAAUUGGUAGCCCCUGCCAUAUAAAUUAAAAAUCAUAUCCUCAUAAAAAAUAAUUGUUACACAAUAAUGAAGAACAAUCAUUCUACUCCGUGCC